CGCCGUCGUAAGCACACCUCUAAAAGUACGAGUAUGCAACUAUGUCAAACUCAUAUACGUCAGGUCAAAGUGCAGCUAAUGAAAGGGGCGACGAUGGGUUACACCCUAAAUAAAGAUACGAAAUAUGGCACCAAAAGCCACAUGAAGGUGGACUUGGACGUAACAAAAAUACAAAAUUAAAAUGAAAACGAAUCUGAGACAUGCACACAUCGCCCGUCACUCUUGCCCAAAGGUGAGAUAAGUCGUAACAAAGUAGGUGUAACGGAAGUUGCACCUGU
rnacentral:rRNA from 1 species